GCCUAGUGAGCUAGACCUUAAGGGAAGAGUAAAGAGGAGCUAGACCCAAGAUAGAUGGGCCACCCCAUGCAAUGACAAGUGACAACUAGGCUUUUGAGCCCUUGUGAGCUUGAGAUGAACUCAAUUGCACUUGAGUGGGAGUGUUGGAAUAUCACUUGUUGGAACAAUUCUCAUACCAAUAUUUACAAGAAAAUUGAAGGGAAUUUAAGUGUUGGCAAACCAAAUCAUAAUGGCAUGGGCCAUUUUGUUGAUGGGGAGCCCAAUUUUAAACCCAGUUCAAUGUAUGACCUUACUAGUUUGGUAUUCACACUUCUAAGCUUGUAAUUCUCAAUAGAGUUAUGAUACCAUAUUAUGAAACUGCUCAAUCUAAAAGUUUAAACUUGUAGGUGAAUACCCUAAGAAUAGUUUUAUAUCUCUCACAUAGCCUUGUAUACGAGUGUUACUAGGCUUGAAGCGUGAACAAACACAGACCUACUUUGCCUUGUGCUGGAACAUUUAAUUAAUGCAUGGAGGUUGCAAGGAUUCGAAUUCUUGACCUUUUGGUUUGAGAGGCUUUAAUAGCUGUGAAGUUUUUGAAAGAGAAUAAAGAGGAGGAAAGGAAGGAGAAGGGA
rnacentral:misc_RNA from 1 species